rnacentral:rRNA from 1 species
UACAGAGGGGGCAAGCGUUGUUCGGAAUUACUGGGCGUAAAGGGCGCGUAGGCGGCUUGGCAAGUGGAUGGUGAAAUCCCUCGGCUUAACCGAGGAACUGCCAUCCAGACUGCUUUGCUUGAGGCCGGGAGAGGUGAGUGGAAUUCCCAGUGUAGCGGUGAAAUGCGUAGAGAUCGGGAGGAACACCAGAGGCGAAAGCGGCAUCCUGGGCCGGGCCUGACGCUGAGGCGUGAAAGCGUGGGGAGCGAACCGG